rnacentral:lncRNA from 1 species
AGACGAAGCUGCAGGGCCCAGCGGUUUCCGCAGACAUCCACCAGCGACAACUGCCUUCGUGGUGUCGGGCCCUGCAGCUGUUGCUGGGCCAAGUGGCCUUACACAGCCACCGGCUACCCCCCAGGUGCUGCGGCCUACCACCCAGGUGCCGCAGCCAACCUCCCAGGCGCCGCAGCCCACCCCC